rnacentral:rRNA from 1 species
UCGAAGUCCGUGGCAGGGGGAGGUGGGAGAGGUGGGGUGCGGGCGUUGGUCGGAAUUAUGGGGCGUAAAGGGCUCGUAGGCGGGUGGUCGCGUCGGGAGUGAAAACUCAGGGCUUAACUCGGAGCUGGCUUCUGAUACGGGCAGACUAGAGGGAUGCAGGGGAGAACGGAAUUCCUGGUGUAGCGGUGAAAUGCGCAGAUAUCAGGAGGAACACCGGUGGCGAAGGCGGUUCUCUGGGCAUUUCCUGACGCUGAGGAGCGAAAGUGUGGGGAGCGAACAGGAUUAGAUACCCGAGUAGUC